rnacentral:lncRNA from 1 species
AUAAUUACAUUUUUCUUCAGUGAUGCUUUCUAUAGCACAUAUACUAAUAUGAUAAGCAAAUGACAAAAGUAAAUUGCUAGCUCUAUUGACAACAAGAAACCACUACAACGCAUGUCAGUAAAUGAACAACAAGGGCCAUGAUAUAUCAAAGAACUAAAUUUGCAAGUAGAAUAAUAGCUAUAAAUCAUAAUGAACAGUUACC